UUGACUUAGUUUAUAUAAAAUGUUGUCUUGUGGUGACAGAGAAAAUAUAAUUUUAGAGUUAGUCAAUA
rnacentral:tRNA from 1 species